UACGUAGGGUCCGAGCGUUGUCCGGAAUUAUUGGGCGUAAAGAGCUCGUAGGCGGCUUGUCGCGUCGUUCGUGAAAACCUGCGGCUCAACUGCAGGCUUGCGGUCGAUACGGGCAUCACUGGAGUUCGGCAGGGGAGACUGGAAUCCUGGUGUAGCGGUGAAAUGCGCAGAUAUCAGGAGGAACACCGGUGGCGAAGGCGGGUCUCUGGGCCGAUGACUGACGCUGAGGAGCGAAAGCGUGGGGAGCGAACAGG
rnacentral:rRNA from 1 species